GUUUGUUGUAACCUGUUGUAGACAGGGGGGUAUAGACGAAAAAUGACGUCAUCAUCGAACACCUGGCUGACCUCAUUUCACAGGGGUGUCAAUGACCUUGUACCGAGCUGACCUUGGGAUAAACCACUUUCCCAGGGGUAUU